UACGGGGGGAGCAAGCGUUGUUCGGAUUUACUGGGCGUAAAGGGCGGGUAGGCGGCCACCGCAAGUCAGUUGUGAAAUCUCUGGGCUUAACCCAGAAAGGUCAACUGAUACUGCGGGGCUAGAGUGCAGAAGGGGCAACUGGAAUUCUCGGUGUAGAGGUGAAAUUCGUAGAUAUUCGGAGGAACACCAGUGGCGAAGGCGGCUCACUGGUCCAUUACUGACGCUGAGGUGCGAAAGCGUGGGGAGCAAACAGG
rnacentral:rRNA from 1 species